rnacentral:rRNA from 1 species
AUUGAACGCUGGCGGCAGGCCUAACACAUGCAAGUCGAGCGCGAAAGUUCUUCGGAAUGAGUAAAGCGGCGGACGGGUGAGUAAUACAUGGGAAUCUGCCUAGUAGUGGGGGACAACGUUUCGAAAGGAACGCUAAUACCGCAUACGCCCUACGGGGGAAAGGGGGGGAUCUUCGGACCUCUCGCUAUCAGAUGAGCCCA